GGCUCAGAACGAACGCUGGCGGCGUGCUUAACACAUGCAAGUCGUACGAGAAAGGGGUAGCAAUACCCCCGGUAAAGUGGCGAACGGGUGAGUAACACGUGGGUAACCUGCCCUCGAGCUCGGAAUAACCCGCCGAAAGGUGGGCUAAUACCGGAUAACGUUUUCGGACCCCAGGGACCGAAAACCAAAGAUGGCCAAUGCUUGCAAGCUAUCACUUGAGGAGGGGCCCGCGGCCCAUUAGCUAGUUGGCGGGGUAAUGGCCCACCAAGGCAACGAUGGGUAGCCGGCCUGAGAGGGCGAUCGGCCACAUUGGAACUGAGACACGGUCCAGACUCCUACGGGAGGCAGCAGUGAGGAAUCUUGCGCAAUGGGCGAAAGCCUGACGCAGCAACGCCGCGUGGGUGAUGAAGGCCUUCGGGUCGUAAAACCCUGUCAGGUGGGAAGAAUCGGACGGGAGCUAAUACCUCCUGUUCCUGACUGUACCACCAGAGGAAGCCCCGGCUAACUCCGUGCCAGCAGCCGCGGUAAUACGGAGGGGGCCAGCGUUGUUCGGAAUCAUUGGGCGUAAAGGGCGCGUAGGCGGCCGGGUAAGUCUGACGUGAAAUCCCUUGGCUCAACCAAGGAAUUGCGUCUUAAACUGCUCGGCUUGAGUCCGGGAGAGGGUAGUGGAAUUCCCAGUGUAGCGGUGAAAUGCGUAGAUAUUGGGAGGAACACCGGUGGCGAAGGCGGCUACCUGGACCGGUACUGACGCUGAGGCGCGAAAGCUAGGGUAGCAAACAGGAUUAGAUACCCUGGUAGUCCUAGCUGUAAACGAUGGGCACUUGGUGUAGCGGGUAUCGACCCCUGCUGUGCCGAAGCUAACGCAUUAAGUGCCCCGCCUGGGGAGUACGGUCGCAAGGCUGAAACUCAAAG
rnacentral:rRNA from 1 species